rnacentral:lncRNA from 1 species
AUUAUAUAUAGUUUUGAAGCUCAGUGAGAGGAUUAAUGGAGAGGGAGGAGGAGUUGUUGUUGUUGUUGUGGUGGUGGUGGCGGAGAGGGGUUGGUACGUAGAGGGUGUAUUUAUAGUAAUGUAUUUUGUUUUGUUUUUCUUAUUUAUUUUUUAUGGGUUUUUUUUUUGAAAAAAAAAUAAAUUAAGGAAUGUGUUUGGGAUUGGAGUGAGGGAUACGAAGUAGGGAUCUGCCGGCCGUUGACUGGAGGAAUUAACGCGGAUGGCAGGAAGCGCGGGAGAAAGUGGAGGCGGGCAGUCCUAGGAAUGCAAACGGGAGAAAGCCAGAAAUUAAAAUUUGAGAAAUCAUAAUUUAAAUUGGGUAACUUUUAAAUAUUAUUCAUGUGAUUUUUUUUUCUUUAAUAUCUUAUAGUUUAAAAUGUAUUAAUUUAGUAUUUUGUGGUUUCUUUUUUUUUUUUUUGUCAGACCAUUUGUUAAUUUUUUGUUAAAUCAUUAUAAAAAACUUCAAAUAUUAUUUUCACCUAUAAUUUAUCGAGUAUUCACUUAACUAUCCUUUAGUUUUAACUUUGUCGUUGAUUUAACGAAAGAAAUUUAGUGUAGGGGAUAACAAAAAGUAAAAAAUAAAACCAUAGGAUAUAUACGAAAUUAAUACACUUUAAACCACAUGAUACUAAAAUAAGAAAGGUGCGAAACUAUAAGGCUGAUAUUUGAAGUUUUUUCAUUUAAAUUUGAUAGGAAAAAAAUCAAUAUCAAAUAAUAAGAAAAAGAGUUUGUUGGAUUUGCAGGGCAUCAACAAUGUGCUCAAAGAGAGGAGUAGAGCUAUAGAAUACGAAAGUGAUAUACUUUAAACCACAAGGUACUGAAGUGAGAAAGUUCGAAACCAUAAAGUUGGUAUUUGAAGUUUAAUUUUCCAUUUAAAUUUUAUAGAAAAAAAUUCAAUCUUAGAUAAUAAGAAAAAGAGUUUGUUGGAUUUGCUGGCAUAGACAAUGUG